GUCUAUGGCCAUGCCACCCUAAACAAGCCUGAUGUCUGAUCUCAGAAGCUAAGCAUGAUCGGGCCUGGUUAGUACUCGGAUGGGAGACCACCUAGGAAGACCAGGUGCUGUAGGCA
rnacentral:rRNA from 1 species